GAACGGGUGAGUAACACGUGGGUAAUCUGCCCUGCACUCUGGGAUAAGCCUUGGAAACGAGGUCUAAUACCGGAUAUCACAACGCUUCGCAUGGAGUGUUGUUGAAAGUUCUGGCGGUGCAGGAUGAACCCGCGGCCUAUCAGCUUGUUGGUGGGGUAGUGGCCUACCAAGGCGACGACGGGUAGCCGGCCUGAGAGGGUGACCGGCCACACUGGGACUGAGACACGGCCCAGACUCCUACGGGAGGCAGCAGUGGGGAAUAUUGCACAAUGGGCGAAAGCCUGAUGCAGCGACGCCGCGUGAGGGAUGACGGCCUUCGGGUUGUAAACCUCUUUCGCCAGGGACGAAGCGCAAGUGACGGUACCUGGAUAAGAAGCACCGGCUAACUACGUGCCAGCAGCCGCGGUAAUACGUAGGGUGCAAGCGUUGUCCGGAUUUAUUGGGCGUAAAGAGCUCGUAGGCGGUUUGUCGCGUCGGCUGUGAAAUCUGGAGGCUUAACCUUCAGCGUGCAGUCGAUACGGGCAGACUUGAGUUCGGUAGGGGAGACUGGAAUUCCUGGUGUAGCGGUGAAAUGCGCAGAUAUCAGGAGGAACACCGGUGGCGAAGGCGGGUCUCUGGGCCGAUACUGACGCUGAGGAGCG
rnacentral:rRNA from 1 species